rnacentral:rRNA from 1 species
AUUGAACGCUGGCGGCAGGCCUAACACAUGCAAGUCGAACGAGUGGCGGACGGGUGAGUAAUGUCUGGGAAACUGCCUGAUGGAGGGGGAUAACUACUGGAAACGGUAGCUAAUACCGCAUACCAUCAGAUGUGCCCAGAUGGGAUUAGCUAUUGGGUGGGGUAACGGCUCACCAAGGCGACGAUCCCUAGCUGGUCUGAGAGGAUGACCAGCCACCCUGGAACGGAGCCACGGUCCAGACUCCUAUGGGAGGCAGCAGUGGGGAAUAUUGCACAAUGGGAGCAAGCAUGAUGAAGCCAUGCCGCGUGGAUGAAGAAGGCCUUCGGGUUGUAAAGUACUUUCAGCGGGGAGGCGUUACCCGAAGAAGAAGCACCGGCUAACUCCGUGCCAGCCGCCGCGGUAAUUC